UACGAAGGGGGCAAGCGUUGUUCGGAAUUACUGGGCGUAAAGGGCGCGUAGGCGGCUUACCAAGUCAGGCGUGAAAUUCCCGGGCUCAACCUGGGGCUGCGCUUGAUACUGGUGAGCUUGAAUGCGGGAGAGGAUAGUGGAAUUCCCAGUGUAGAGGUGAAAUUCGUAGAUAUUGGGAAGAACACCGGUGGCGAAGGCGGCUAUCUGGCCCGUAAUUGACGCUGAGGCGCGAAAGCGUGGGGAGCAAACAGG
rnacentral:rRNA from 1 species